rnacentral:lncRNA from 1 species
CAUUAUUUUGAUUCACAUUCAUCUCCAAAUGAAGUUGGUACAGAUUGUAGUGAGGUUGAGUGUGAGAGUGCCAAUGAUGUUGAGGUAGGGUAUAAUCAGAGGUUCUUCAAUGGAAUGUGAUGAACCCUAGGUGAAAAUCAGAGGAAAAUACAUAAAACAGCUUCAACAAACAUUUAAUUGAAGAAAGUACUUACCUCUGCUUCUUGUUGUUGGAGAAAGCAUGUGGAAAUUCCUUGUUCUUCAAUGGAAGGUGAUGAACCCUAGGUGAAAAUCAGAGGAAGAUGAAGGGGAAGAGUUUGGAGAAGGCUCUGGAAAUAAACGCUGGAGUAUAUAAAUAAC